rnacentral:rRNA from 1 species
AACGAACGCUGGCGGCAGGCUUAACACAUGCAAGUCGAACGCCCCGCAAGGGGAGUGGCAGACGGGUGAGUAACGCGUGGGAAUCUACCCAACCCUACGGAACAACUCCGGGAAACUGGAGCUAAUACCGUAUACGCCCUUAGGGGGAAAGAUUUAUCGGGGAUGGAUGAGCCCGCGUUGGAUUAGCUAGUUGGUGGGGUAAAGGCCUACCAAGGCGACGAUCCAUAGCUGGUCUGAGAGGAUGAUCAGCCACAUUGGGACUGAGACACGGCCCAAACUCCUACGGGAGGCAGCAGUGGGGAAUAUUGGACAAUGGGCGCAAGCCUGAUCCAGCCAUGCCGCGUGAGUGAUGAAGGUCUUAGGAUUGUAAAGCUCUUUCACCGGAGAAGAUAAUGACGGUAUCCGGAGAAGAAGCCCCGGCUAACUUCGUGCCAGCAGCCGCAGUAA